rnacentral:rRNA from 1 species
GACGAACGCUGGCGGCGUGCUUAACACAUGCAAGCCGAACGAGACGAUUGAAAGCUUGCUUUUAAAAGUCGAGUGGCAAACGGGUGAGUAACGCGUAGACAACCUGCCUUUGAGAUGGGGACAACAGUUCGAAAGGACUGCUAAUACCGAAUGUUGUAUAUUUUCCACAUGGAAGAUAUAUUAAAGAUGGCCUCUAUUUAUAAGCUAUCGCUCAAAGAUGGGUCUGCGUCUGAUUAGCUAGUUGGUGGGGUAACGGCCUACCAAGGCGACGAUCAGUAGACGGUCUGAGAGGAUGAACGGCCACAUUGGGACUGAGACACGGCCCAGACUCCUACGGGAGGCAGCAGAGGGGAAUCUUCCACAAUGGACGAAAGUCUGAUGGAGCAACGCCGCGUGAGUGAAGAAGGGUUUCGGCUCGUAAAGCUCUGUUGUCGGGGACGAAUGUGCAGUAUUUGAAUAAAGUACUGCAAUGACGGUACCUGACGAGGAAGCCACGGCUAACUACGUGCCAGCCGCCGCAGUAA